rnacentral:rRNA from 1 species
GUCGAGAAUCUUUCACAAUGGGGGCAACCCUGAUGGAGCGACGCCGCGUGGAGGAUAAGGUCUUCGGAUUGUAAACUCCUGUCAUGCGUGAACAAGGUUGCUUGGUUAAUACCUGGGCAAAUUGAUGGUAACGCAAGAGGAAGAGACGGCUAACUCUGUGCCAGCAGCCGCGGUAAUACAGAGGUCUCAAGCGUUGUUCGGGAUCACUGGGCGUAAAGGGUGCGUAGGUGGCGUGGUAAGUCAGAUGUGAAAGCCCGGGGCUCAACCUCGGAACUGCAUCCGAUACUGCCAUGCUAGAGUACUGGAGAGGUGACUAGAAUUCUCGGUGUAGCAGUGAAAUGCGUAGAUAUCGAGAGGAAUACCAAAGGCGUAGGCAGGUCACUGGACAGUUACUGACACUGAGGCACGAAGGCCAGGGGAGCGAACGGGAUUAGAAACCCGAGUAGUCC